rnacentral:misc_RNA from 1 species
CUCCGCCAGCACCUCCUCCACCUGCCGCCGGCUGGCCUUCUCAAGCAGCUCCUGCAGCUGCCGCCGAGUCACCCGGAUCUUGACCUCCACCUUGUCCUCGACGGCUGCGGGCGCCGCCUUGGCCUUGCUGCAGGGCUCCGCCUCCUCCUCCCACUCGUCGCCGUCCGCCCACGUCGCCGCGCGCCGCAGCCUGAGGCAGUUCCCCAUGCGCGCUCGCGGUCGACGACAAGUAUACGCUGCGCUGUGCGUGCCUUGGCGCGCGCGGACGGACGGACGGACGGACCUCUUGGCAAUCAGGCUCUGGGUUCUGGAUCAGUGCUCGUUGUUGGUCGGCUAUCGUCGCCGUGAUCUCCG